GAUGAAGAACGUAGCGAAAUGCGAUAAGUAGUGUGAAUUGCAGAAUUCAGUGAAUCAUCGAAUCUUUGAACGCACAUUGCGCCCCAUGGUAUUCCGUGGGGCAUGCCUGUUCGAGCGUCAUUUACCCCCUCAAGCUCCGCUUGGUGUUGGGUGUUUGUUCCGCCUCUGUGUGUGAACUCGCCUCAAAACAAUUGGCAGCCGGCGUACUUGUUUCGGAGCGCAGCACAUUUUGCGAUCCAGAUCAACGUACAGCGGCAUCCAAGAAGCCUUAUUUAACGCUCUUGACCUCGGAUCAGGUAGGGAUACCCGCUGAACUUAAGCAUAUCAAUAAGCGGAGGA
rnacentral:misc_RNA from 1 species